rnacentral:rRNA from 1 species
AACGCUGGCGGCAGGCCUAACACAUGCAAGUCGAACUUUAACAGGAAGAAGCUUGCUUCUUUGCUGACGAGUGGCGGACGGGUGAGUAAUGUCUGGGAAACUGCCUGAUGGAGGGGGAUAACUACUGGAAACGGUAGCUAAUACCGCAUAACGUCGCAAGACCAAAGAGGGGGACCUUCGGGCCUCUUGCCAUCGGAUGUGCCCAGAUGGGAUUAGCUAGUAGGUGGGGUAACGGCUCACCUAGGCGACGAUCCCUAGCUGGUCUGAGAGGAUGACCAGCCACACUGGAACUGAGACACGGUCCAGACUCCUACGGGAGGCAGCAGUGGGGAAUAUUGCACAAUGGGCGCAAGCCUGAUGCAGCCAUGCCGCGUGUAUGAAGAAGGCCUUCGGGUUGUAAAGUACUUUCAGCGGGGAGGAAGGGAGUAAAGUUAAUACCUUUACUCAUUGACGUUACCCGCAGAAGAAGCACCGGCUAACUCCGUGCCAGCAGCCGCGGUAAUACGGAGGGUGCAAGCGUUAAUCGGAAUUACUGGGCGUAAAGCGCACGCAGGCGGUUUGUUAAGUCAGAUGUGAAAUCCCCUGGCUCAACCUGGGAACUGCAUCUGAUACUGGCAAGCUUGAGUCUCGUAGAGGGGGGUAGAAUUCCAGGUGUAGCGGUGAAAUGCGUAGAGAUCUGGAGGAAUACCGGUGGCGAAGGCGGCCCCCUGGACGAAGACUGACGCUCAGGUGCGAAAGCGUGGGGAGCAAACAAGAUUAGAUACCCUGGUAGUCCACGCCGUAAACGAUGUCGACUUGGAGGUUGUGCCCUUGAGGCGUGGCUUCCGGAGCUAACGCGUUAAGUCGACCGCCUGGGGAGUACGGCCGCAAGGUUAAAACUCAAAUGAAUUGACGGGGGCCCGCACAAGCGGUGGAGCAUGUGGUUUAAUUCGAUGCAACGCGAAGAACCUUACCUGGUCUUGACAUCCACAGAACUUUCCAGAGAUGGAUUGGUGCCUUCGGGAACUGUGAGACAGGUGCUGCAUGGCUGUCGUCAGCUCGUGUUGUGAAAUGUUGGGUUAAGUCCCGCAACGAGCGCAACCCUUAUCCUUUGUUGCCAGCGGUCCGGCCGGGAACUCAAAGGAGACUGCCAGUGAUAAACUGGAGGAAGGUGGGGAUGACGUCAAGUCAUCAUGGCCCUUACGACCAGGGCUACACACGUGCUACAAUGGCGCAUACAAAGAGAAGCGACCUCGCGAGAGCAAGCGGACCUCAUAAAGUGCGUCGUAGUCCGGAUUGGAGUCUGCAACUCGACUCCAUGAAGUCGGAAUCGCUAGUAAUCGUGGAUCAGAAUGCCACGGUGAAUACGUUCCCGGGCCUUGUACACACCGCCCGUCACACCAUGGGAGUGGGUUGCAAAAGAAGUAGGUAGCUUAACCUUCGGGAGAACGCUUACCACUUUGUGGUUCGUGACUGGGGUGAAG